rnacentral:sRNA from 1 species
CUGGUGAAUAGCUGUACGUGUAAAAUUG